UACGUAGGGUGCGAGCGUUGUCCGGAAUUAUUGGGCGUAAAGGGCUCGUAGGCGGUCUGUCACGUCGGGAGUGAAAACCCAGGGCUCAACCCUGGGCCUGCUUCCGAUACGGGCAGACUAGAGGUAUGCAGGGGAGAAUGGAAUUCCUGGUGUAGCGGUGAAAUGCGCAGAUAUCAGGAGGAACACCGGUGGCGAAGGCGGUUCUCUGGGCAUUACCUGACGCUGAGGAGCGAAAGUGUGGGGGAGCGAACAGG
rnacentral:rRNA from 1 species